GACGAACGCUGGCGGCGUGCUUAACACAUGCAAGUCGAACGGAAAGGCCUGCUUUCCCUUGUGGAUUGCGGGUACUCGAGUGGCGAACGGGUGAGUAACACGUGAGUGAUCUGCCCCCAACUUGGGUAUAAGCCUGGGAAACUGGGUCUAAUUCCCGAUAGGACUGCAGGGUGGUGCCUGUGGUGGAAAACGAUUUUCUAGUGGUUGGGGAUGAGCUCGCGGCCUAUCAGCUUGUUGGUGGGGUAAUGGCCUACCAAGGCGGCGAUGGGUAGCCGGCCUGAGAGGGUGGACGGCCACAUUGGGACUGAGAUACGGCCCAGACUCCUACGGGAGGCAGCAGUGGGGAAUAUUGCACAAUGGGCGGAAGCCUGAUGCAGCGACGCCGCGUGGGGGAUGACGGCCUUCGGGUUGUAAACUCCUUUCGACCGCGAGGAAGCCACCUGGUUGGAAGGGUGGUGACGGUAGUGGUAGAAGAAGCACCGGCUAACUACGUG
rnacentral:rRNA from 1 species